GCGAAAUAUAAAUUUUGAUUUAUAGCCCAUAAAUAAAUUGUCUUACGAAAACCUUUUGAAAAAAUUACAGGAUCAGGCAAAAGUUACGAUCUACGUCAUACUAUUUUGUAACCAUUUCAAUUUCAAAACUAUAAAAUUAUUCUAUUUAAGAAAAGGGAUCACCUCUCACUACAAAUCUCUAGGAUUUUCCCAGGAAACAAGGCUGUUUACAAAAGGUAAGUAAGGGCCAUAAUUCCACCCGGGUUUCUUUUCCAUCUCAAUCCUCCUCAUUUCUUGAUGUUGAAAAUCAUAAACAUAGUAGCAUCCAUCUCCUCUGCUCUCAAAGCAGAUUUCUCUGGCAUUUCUUGAAGCAGUCACAGGUACUAAAUCAUCAGUUACAGAAUCUAUAUGUAUAGUAUGUUGCUUGCUCCAAGCUUCCCCAUGCAAGCCUUUGCAGAUCCAUAUGUCCAUGACAAAAGGUUGAGCAUUAUGAGUGAUCAAUCCUAAAAAACCCCACAGCUCUACAAGCCUAUCACGCCUUUUGUAUGCGCUUGGAAGUGGGAUUGUGAAAAAUGUUUCACGGUCGAUAUCCAUAGACACAAUGUAUUCGCAGUUAUGAGUGUCAGGAACCCAAUGUAAAGCCCCAAUUGCUGAAACUGAUUCUUGUGCAAACUUUCUCACAAGUCCUAAAGAUGGACCAUCCACUCCUCUCCAUGAUUUUGUACCAACACUCAGUAUCUCACAGCCAACAUGUAAUCUCUUAUCAAUAAACAAAUGCACAACUUUGUAUUUUCCUUCAUGAUUGCUGUACAUAAAUCCAUAAGACUCCAGAUUUCUAGAAAUUGGAGCAACAGUACCAAGAGGAUAUCGAAUAAGCUUCCUGGUCAUAGGAUUCAUCACUACUAUGCCUUUGUUCUUCCCCAAUUGAACCAAAAUAAGCCCAUCACAUGUAGCAAGAAUAUUGCCAGAGCAAGUAAUGUUCAACUCCACAACUUUGAUCUUGGAAUUCUGAACCUCCAGAAAAUGCAAGUGACCUUGCUGAUAUUGUCUAGAUGAAUCAGUGGGAAAGAUUGAGAACUGCUCUAAACCAAGCCUCAAAUCGAUAGAGAGGUUAUAAGGGUUUGGAAACUGGGGUUUUGGAUCAAGACAGAUAAGGGUAGUCUCACAGAGCUGUAGGUGAGCAUCCGCAAAAGCAAAGCUGUUGAUUAAAUUGAACCACGUCUUGCACACACAACUUAAUCUGACAAGAGAUUUGAUUGGAAGCAGAACAAGAAUCUGAAAAACAAAAUCAGAAGAAAAAUAUUCUCCUUCACAAGCUCGAUACUUCACAACCCUUGAUGCUCUCCUCUCUUGUACCAUUCUCCAUAACCUUGAAUUUCUCCGUACAAUUUUGCUCCUGUUACCAUCACCUGGAAAGAGUCCCAUACUUUCUCUCAUAAGCUACGAUCAGAGAAACUAUUUAUUAGAAGAAGUUCUCGGAAGCAUCAACAGAAAAUCAAAUCACCAUCAAACAAAUUAAUCGAUCAGAGCGUCCCGUCAUACCAUUUUGAUUUCAAUAAUAAGAAAAUACAUCAGAAGCAUGAAAAUUUGAAAUAAUGAGCUAAUUAAACAACAAAAGCGAAGAACUAACAAAAUCCAAAGAGUAAAAAGUGUCUAACUUCGAUACCAAUCAUUGUGAUCUUGGAGCAGGUUCUACAAACCCUAAUUUCAGUUUUUUCAAUGGAAUUCAAGGGUCAAAUUACAUUUACCAAGAAGAACUUAGGCAGAGAAAUGAAUUAAAGAGCUAGGUUUUGGUAGAUUAGAUAACAACCACAUUAAAUUAUUCAGUAGAAAGAUAUCUAUUCUCUUAAACGAAAACGAAAUCAAAAUUUGAAAGAUCGCCCAAGAUAGGAAAUCUAAAUCAGCGUUCCAUGAUCUUACCUAGUAAGUAUUCUCCAGAGAGCGAGAGAUAGAAUCCAGGUCUACUGGUGAGAAGAGUCAGAACCCAGUGUAGACGACGGUGGAGAAAAGGGUUAGAGUACGCUAUAGAGACUGGCAGUUACUUCCGCGCU
rnacentral:misc_RNA from 1 species